AGGCUGCAACUCGCCUGCAUGAAGUUGGAAUUGCUAGUAAUCGCAGAUCAGCAUGCUGCGGUGAAUACGUUCCCGGGCCUUGUACACACCGCCCGUCACACCAUGGGAGUCGGUAACACCCAAAGUUGGUAGCCUAACCGCAAGGAGGGCGCCGCCUAAGGUGGGAUUGAUGACUGGGGUGAAGUCGUAACAAGGUAAC
rnacentral:rRNA from 1 species